AAAAAUACCAAAGGCCAGGAAAUGCACUCCAGCCUUCUUCUUUCCUCCUCCCCUUCUUGCUAUCUGUCAGUCCUCUCACCAUCCCAAGCCUCUCUCAUACCCUCCUUCUAUCCCUUCAUCCGCUCACUCUGUGUGGAUAGAUCAGAUGGUGCACCGUAAGGAGAUAAAGCUGCCAGCAUGAUCUGAUCUUUCCCCUCAUAAGAAGCCAAUCAGAUCAUCUGGCAGUUUCAUCUGCUGAUGGGAGCACGUGAAACGCAGGAGCUUAGCUAUACAUCGAUCAGGUUUGGUUUUCCUAGUCCCUUUGACUCUUCUGUUGUUACUGCUGAUGUUGCUGCUUGUGAUAUGAGAGAGGACAGGAGAGGAGAGGAGAGGGGAGAGAGAGCGAGAGAGUUUAUUAGGUAUCGGAGUGGAUCGCAAAAUCUGGACAUGGAGGUGAUCAAUCUUGACAACAUAUAUAUCCCUCGCUUUUAGGUUUGUUCCCAAGACUGUCACACUGCUGCAUGAUCUUGACAGUAGAACUGCAAGUCUUCUCUCAAAGGUAGUGUGUAGUUUGCAAAGAAGAGUUGAUAGGCCUGAUGAUAAACUUCCCAAGCAAGAGAAGGAAUAACAAUUGAUGUAAAAUAAGUGAGACAUGUCCUAAUGAUGGUGGAGACUGUUGAUGCAAGUUGUCUUUGUGAUGACACAUAUAUUCUAGCAUCAUUAGAAACAGAAGAAUUAGUAGAUGUAUGUAUGAUGAUGUCUUCCAUGUUCUUUUAUUCAUAUGGAAGAUGAGGUUGCAUCUUAUUGUAACAUAUGCAAUUCAGAUUAGAAUUUGGAUUUUUGUGCCA